UACGUAGGGGGCAAGCGUUGUCCGGAAUCAUUGGGCGUAAAGAGCGUGUAGGCGGCCCGAUAAGUCCGCUGUGAAAGUCCAGGGCUCAACCCUGGAAUGCCGGUGGAUACUGUCGGGCUCGAAUCCGGAAGAGGUGAGUGGAAUUCCUGGUGUAGCGGUGAAAUGCGCAGAUAUCAGGAGGAACACCGAUGGCGAAGGCAGGUCUCUGGGCAUUAACUGACGCUGAGGAGCGAAAGCAUGGGGAGCGAACAGG
rnacentral:rRNA from 1 species